GUUCUGUGCAGCUGGGGCAGGUUGUGUUGCUAGGAGAACAAUGACUCUUGCUUCCAGCAAGAGAGGUGACUCUGGCAGCAUUACCAGGGGCACACAGGUGGGCGUUGCUUUUCAUUCCCCAGCAAGAACAGACUCCUCCCCAGAGGAGCCCAGCUGGCCAAGCUGACGGGUGGGCCCAGCACUGUCCCGCUCCAAGACCACCUUCUUCCUCCUGCAGCUGCCAUUCUGGCGAGACAGGACAUUAUCUGCUGCAGGAUUUGAAGCAAAACCUGUGGAAUAUUGCUCUGGGCCUGUUUUCUAAGAGAAUGCCCAGAGGAGUAUAAAUUCAAAUUCCCGCCAGAGAAGCCUCUGCUUCAGGAGUAGGUAGCAGAAAAAUACUGUAUGUUUGUCACUCAGAUUUUAUUUCCCCCUUAUCUACCUGGAAAAGCCAAUUUCUGAACUUUGGCCACAGUAAGGUGGGGCCAUGGGACUGAGCUUCUGGCCUUGGGAAAGUGGGCUAAAGGACAGACCUGCCAUGCGAUCCUCCGUGCUCCCUGUCUGCCAGCUGGACACAGACGACUGGGGAGGGGGCAGAACUCCCUGGACCAUGAGAUGGUACAGUAGGGGGAUGGAGCCUGGAUGCCAAUGGCUUUGUGACAUGAACAGCCCUGCCCUGGACCCGUAUGGGUCUAUGAGUGAGAAGCCAGCCUUGUUUGAGUUGAGCUACUGGGCUACUGAGCAUAGGGCUGCUUUUAACAGGCUGCUUUGGUUAAUAAGGGCAUGCAUGAGGGGCGUGAUGAGAUCAUUUUCAAGGGUAGUGGGGGGUGAUGGUGGGAUUCGGCAGGGGUGUUUCCCUGAGGAGGUGGACAGGAGGCUCCUGGGCAGGAGUGGGGUGUAAUAUGUUACCAUAAACUGAGGAAAGGGAGCCAGUGUGUGUGCACAUGUACGUGUGUGUGUGUGUGUGGGGGGGGGGUCAGGCCAAACAGCUCUGUGCAGCCCUUUCUAAACUGAAAUUAAUGAAUAAAGGUUAAUUUUUUUGUGCAC
rnacentral:lncRNA from 1 species